rnacentral:tRNA from 1 species
GUCCCUGUAGCGCAAUGGAUAGCGCGUUGGACUUCUAAUCCAAAAAUUGUGGUUUCGAAUCCCACUUGGGAUG